rnacentral:rRNA from 1 species
AACGAACGCUGGCGGCAGGCCUAACACAUGCAAGUCGAGCGGGCCCUUCGGGGCUAGCGGCGGACGGGUUAGUAACGCGUGGGAAUAUGCCCAAAGGUACGGAAUAGCCUCUGGAAACGGAGAGUAAUACCGUAUGUGCCCUUCGGGGGAAAGAUUUAUCGCCUUUGGAUUAGCCCGCGUUGGAUUAGGUAGUUGGUGGGGUAAUGGCCUACCAAGCCUACGAUCCAUAGCUGGUUUGAGAGGAUGAUCAGCAACACUGGGACUGAGACACGGCCCAGACUCCUACGGGAGGCAGCAGUGGGGAAUCUUCGGCAAUGGGCGCAAGCCUGACCGAGCCAUGCCGCGUGAGCGAUGAAGGCCUUAGGGUUGUAAAGCUCUUUCGCCAGGGAUGAUAAUGACAGUACCUGGUAAAGAAACCCCGGCUAACUCCGUGCCAGCCGCCGCGGUAA